AUUGAACGCUGGCGGCAUGCCUUACACAUGCAAGUCGAACGGUAACAGGUCUUCGGAUGCUGACGAGUGGCGAACGGGUGAGUAAUACAUCGGAACGUGCCCGAUCGUGGGGGAUAACGAGGCGAAAGCUUUGCUAAUACCGCAUACGAUCUACGGAUGAAAGCGGGGGAUCUUCGGACCUCGCGCGGACGGAGCGGCCGAUGGCAGAUUAGGUAGUUGGUGGGAUAAAAGCUUACCAAGCCGACGAUCUGUAGCUGGUCUGAGAGGAUGAUCAGCCACACUGGGACUGGGACACGGCCCAGACUCCUACGGGAGGCAGCAGUGGGGAAUUUUGGACAAUGGGCGAAAGCCUGAUCCAGCCAUGCCGCGUGCAGGAUGAAGGCCUUCGGGUUGUAAACUGCUUUUGUACGGAACGAAAAGCCUCUUUCUAAUAAAGAGGGGUCAUGACGGUACCGGAAGAAUAAGCACCGGCUAACUACGUG
rnacentral:rRNA from 1 species